rnacentral:rRNA from 1 species
AAAUCCCACGGCUCAACCGUGGGGCUUGUUGGGGAUACUGCAGGCCUUGGGACCGGGAGAGGCGGGGGGUACCCCUGGGGUAGGGGUGAAAUCCUAUAAUCCCAGGGGGACCGCCAGUGGCGAAGGCGCCCCGCUGGAACGGGUCCGACGGUGAGGGACGAAGGCCAGGGGAGCGAACCGGAUUAGAUACCCGGGUAGUCCUGGCUGUAAAGGAUGCGGGCUAGGUGUCGGGCGAGCUUCGAGCUCGCCCGGUGCCGGAGGGAAGCCGUUAAGCCCGCCGCCUGGGGAGUACGGCCGCAAGGCUGAAACUUAAAGGAAUUGGCGGGGGAGCACUACAAGGGGUGGAGCGUGCGGUUUAAUUGGAUUCAACGCCGGGAACCUCACCGGGGGCGACGGCAGGAUGAAGGCCAGGCUGAAGGUCUUGCCGGACGCGCCGAGAGGAGGUGCAUGGCCGCCGUCAGCUCGUACCGUGAGGCGUCCACUUAAGUGUGGUAACGAGCGAGACCCGCGCCCCCAGUUGCCAGUCCUCCCCGCGGGGGAGGAGGCACUCUGGGGGGACCGCCGGCGAUAAGCCGGAGGAAGGAGCGGGCGACGGUAGGUCAGUAUGCCCCGAAACCCCCGGGCUACACGCGCGCUACAAUGGGCGGGACAAUGGGAUCCGACCCCGAAAGGGGAAGGGAAUCCCCUAAACCCGCCCUCAGUUCGGAUCGCGGGCUGCAACUCGCCCGCGUGAAGCUGGAAUCCCUAGUACCCGCGUGUCAUCAUCGCGCGGCGAAUACGUCCCUGCUCCUUGCACACACCGCCCGUCACUCCACCCGAGCGGGGUCCGGGUGAGGCUCGGUCUCCCUUCGGGGAGGCCGGGUCGAGCCCGGGCUCCGUGAGGGGGGAGAAGUCGUAACAAGGUAGCCGUAGGGGAACCUACGGCUCGAUCACCUCCU